rnacentral:rRNA from 1 species
UACGAAGGGUGCAAGCGUUACUCGGAAUUACUGGGCGUAAAGCGUGCGUAGGUGGUGAGUUAAGUCUGUCGUGAAAGCCCCGGGCUUAACCUGGGAAUGGCAUUUGGGACUGCAAGGCUUGAGUGCGGCAGAGGAGACUGGAAUUCCUGGUGUAGCAGUGAAAUGCGUAGAUAUCAGGAGGAAUACCGAUGGCGAAGGCAGGUCUCUGGGCUGACACUGACGCUCAUGCACGAAAGCGUGGGGAGCAAACAGG